rnacentral:misc_RNA from 1 species
UUCUUUUUGUGCUGAAGAGAAGGUGAUGGAACUUUACAAAAAGAAAUGUGAAGGCCCUGUGAAGACAGGAAUAAGAGACGGGUUGAUAUGUGGAUUUGGAUUUGGACUAUCUUUCUUCUUCCUUUACUCUGUCUAUGCUGCUAGUUUUUAUGCUGGAGCCCGACUUGUUGAGGUUGGCAACACAACAUUUGUUGAGGUUUUUCGAGCGUUCUGUGCUCUCAGUAUGGCAGCUGUUGGAGUUUCUCAAUCAAGCUCCUUCGCUCCUGAUGCUGGCAAAGCAAAAAGCGCUGCAGCUUCUGUGUUUGCAAUUCUUGAUCAGAAAUCAAAAGUAAAUUCCAACGAUGAUUCUGGUAUAGUAAUAGAAAAUCUUAAAGG